rnacentral:rRNA from 1 species
GAUGAACGCUGGCGGCGUGCCUAAUACAUGCAAGUCGAGCGAACAGACGAGGAGCUUGCUCCUCUGACGUUAGCGGCGGACGGGUGAGUAACACGUGGAUAACCUACCUAUAAGACUGGGAUAACUUCGGGAAACCGGAGCUAAUACCGGAUAAUAUAUUGAACCGCAUGGUUCAAUAGUGAAAGACGGUUUUGCUGUCACUUAUAGAUGGAUCCGCGCCGCAUUAGCUAGUUGGUAAGGUAACGGCUUACCAAGGCAACGAUGCGUAGCCGACCUGAGAGGGUGAUCCGCCACCCUGGAACUGAGACACGGUCCAGACUCCUACGGGAGGCAGCAGGAGGGAAUCUUCCGCAAUAGGCGAAAGCCUGACGGAGCAACGCCGGGUGAGUGAUGAAGGUCUUCGGAUCGGAAAACUCUGUUAUUAGGGAAGAAAAAAAGUGUAAGUAAAUAAGCACGUCUUGACGGUACCUAAUCAGAAAGCCACGGCUAACUACGUGC